rnacentral:rRNA from 1 species
GAUGAACGCUGGCGGCGUGCCCAAUACAUGCAAGUCGAGCGAACGGACGAGAAGCUUGCUUUUCUGAUGUUAGCGGCGGACGGGUGAGUAACACGUGGAUAACCUACCUAUAAGACUGGGAUAACUUCGGGAAACCGGAGCUAAUACCGGAUAAUAUUUUGAACCGCAUGGUUCAAAAGUGAAAGACGGUCUUGCUGUCACUUAUAGAUGGAUCCGCGCUGCAUUAGCUAGUUGGUAAGGUAACGGCUUACCAAGGCAACGAUGCAUAGCCGACCUGAGAGGGUGAUCGGCCACACUGGAACUGAGACACGGUCCAGACUACUACGGGAGGCAGCAGUAGGGAAUCUUCCGCAAUGGGCGAAAGCCUGACGGAGCAACGCCGCGUGAGUGAUGAAGGUCUUCGGAUCGUAAAACUCUGUUAUUAGGGAAGAACAUAUGUGUAAGUAACUGUGCACAUCUUGACGGUACCUAAUCAGAAAGCCACGGCUAACUACGUG